GUCCCUACGGGCGCAGCAGUGAGGAAUAUUGGUCAAUGGGCGGGAGCCUGAAUCAGCCAAGUCGCGUGAGGGAAGACGGUCCUAUGGAUUGUAAACCUCUUUAGGCGGGGAGCAAUGCCGGGCACGCGUGCCCGGAGGGAGAGUACCCGCAGAAUAAGCAUCGGCUAACUCCGUGCCAGCAGCCGCGGUAAUACGGAGGAUGCGAGCGUUAUCCGGAUUUAUUGGGUUUAAAGGGUGCGUAGGCGGAUUUUUAUGUCAGCGGUAAAAUGUCC
rnacentral:rRNA from 1 species